GAUGAACGCUAGCUACAGGCUUAACACAUGCAAGUCGAGGGACCGGCGCACGUGUGAGUAACGCGUAUCCCACCUGCCCAUAAGUAGGGUAUAACCCGCAGAAAUGCGGUCUUAUCCCCUAUCCUUAUGGGGGGGGAUGCGUCCGAUUAGCUUGUUGGUGAGGUAACGGCCCACCAAGUCGUCGAUCGGUAGUGGUUCUGAGAGGAAGGCCCCCCACAUAGGAACUGAGACACGGUCCUAACUCCUACGGGAGGCAGCAGUGAGGAAUAUUGGUCAAUGGGCGAGAGCCUGAACCAGCCAAGUAGCGUGAAGGAAGAAGGCCUAUGGGUCGUAAACUGCUUUUAUGCGGGGAUAGGUACCGUAUGAAUAAGGACCGGCUAAUUCCGUGCCAGCAGCCGCGGUAAUAC
rnacentral:rRNA from 1 species